rnacentral:rRNA from 1 species
UGCGCAGGCGGGGAUGUAAGUCAGUGGUGAAAUACUGCCGCUCAACGGUAGAACUGCCAUUGAUACUGCAUCUCUUGAGUAUGGUUGAGGUAGGCGGAAUGUGUUGUGUAGCGGUGAAAUGCAUAGAUAUGACACAGAACGCCAAUUGCGAAGGCAGCUUACUAAACCAUUACUGACGCUGAGACACGAAAGCGUGGGGAGCGAACAGGAUUAGAUACCCUGGUAGUCC